rnacentral:rRNA from 1 species
AGCGAACGCUGGCGGCAGGCCUAACACAUGCAAGUCGAACGGACCCUUCGGGGUUAGUGGCGGACGGGUGAGUAACACGUGGGAACGUGCCUUUAGGUUCGGAAUAGCUCCUGGAAACGGGUGGUAAUGCCGAAUGUGCCCUUCGGGGGAAAGAUUUAUCGCCUUUAGAGCGGCCCGCGUCUGGUUAGCUAGUUGGUGAGGUAAUGGCUCACCAAGGCGACGAUCAGUAGCUGGUCUGAGGGGACGACCAGCCACACUGGGACUGAGACACGGCCCAGACCCCUACGGGAGGCAGCAGUGGGGAAUCUUGCGCAAUGGGCGAAAGCCUGACGCAGCCAUGCCGCGUGAAUGAUGAAGGUCUUAGGAUUGUAAAAUUCUUUCACCGGGGACGAUAAUGACGGUACCCGGAGAAGAAGCCCCGGCUAACUUCGUGCCAGCCGCCGCCGUAAGAC